CCGGGCGCCACCGAGCGCCCAGAGCCCGGAAGCAGCUCGGCCGGAGACCGCAGGGGCCAAAGGUGUCGUUGGUAUUUCUUCUCUCUGGGAUAGUUCAUUAGAUGAUUGUGUUCUUCCAUGCUCUGUCUUCAAGGGCCUCUAAUGUAGAUUACCAUAAAGCAGUUCUCAGCAGAAUUUAAAAUUAAACAAUUGGCUUUCUAUGUUUACUUGUGAGUCUGUCCCAGGCCUAAACCCCUUGUCUGAAGAUGGGCAGCAGAUCUGUAGUAAGUGAACAUCUAUGCAUCCCUGGUCCUGGCUGAGGCCUGUGAUGCCAGUGACUUCUCAAAGGACAAGAUAAGGCCACAGCUGAGGACACCUGACUUCAACCCCAAAUAACUAACUAGAGACUGUAGCUGCACGCAUCUCACUCCAGCUGUCUCAGCUCUGCCAUGAAUGUCAACCUGGAUGUGAUAGUUCUCCUAAAUCACCAACAUUUACCACUUGGAGAAGUCUUUAAACAGAUCCCCCACCCACCCAAGGUCCUGCUCAGUUCCUAUGUUUUCCUCAGCAUCCCUGCUUUGUUUAAAAAACAAAUAAAUAUGAGCCACCUAAA